UAAUCAUCUAGACAUUUCAAGAGAAACAAAACGAAAUAGCAAGAGGAAGAAAGAAGAGAAGAGAAGAGAAACUUAGGCUAGAAACAAGGAAAGAGCUACGAUUUUGGGAGGAGAAAAAGGCAGCCCAAAACGUUACCAAACAGUCCCUAAGUUUCAGCUGCGCUAAAGGGAAUUCCGAGGCAAGUUUUGGCGAGUUUUGGUGAAUUUCGGGAAAGGUUCAAGAGACGACGAGGCGAGCAUAGUUAAGAGUAAUCCGUAAGAGGUAUGUAAAGCGAACCUUUCUUUCUUUUGGCAUGUUUUUGACAUAAGUAUGUAAAGCAUAUUCAUUCGAUUUUCAUGUUUUGACAUAAGUAUGUAAAGCUAAUAUUUGUUUUGGUAUGGUAUUUAUGAAACAAAAAUAUGACUUUUAUAUAAUUUCAAAGAGGUUCCUAUUCCUAGAGCCAUUAGGAUGGACAAUCCCUUGAUUUCCAAAAGGUAUUUUAUUAUGCUUCGAUACGUCUAUAUGAUUCCAGAAGAUUUAUUCUGAUAUAAUCCAGGAUAACUUUCGAAAGGUACUUGACAUGAGUCUCGUCUCGAUUUUUAAAUGAUAGCUCAUUCUGAUUAUUCCAUUGAGUCUCAAAUAUGAUUUAAUUUGCAUUAGUUUCUCACUACUCCACUCGUGGAUGCCCCAAUGCUUCCUUCACCGAGCCCGGGCCGUGUUUUGUUUUCGUGCGUAUUUCUCUGCAUUAUUCGCCGUGUCCCGACGUGAGGGGGCAGGUAUGACAUGUACAUGGGGUGGUAAAUAUUAUGCCACGGAGUUAUGCUGUGCCAUGUACAUAUAUGUUUGUGAUAUGAUAUGAUAUGAUAUGAUUUGAUAUGGCCAUCUGAUAUGAUAUGAUUUGUUACGGAGAUAUUCCCUACUCUGGUGUUAUGCUGUGCCGUGGCGCCGAUGAUGGGAGGGCGACCACACUUUGUUCACCGAGUCCCAUAAUGGGGCCGGAUAUGGCAUAUGUUUUUCUGCAUACAUUAUCUGAGGUUUUGAUCAGCAUUUGAUAUUUCUGGAUAUUUUGCUCAUUUUUGCACAUUCUG